CGCGGGGUGGAGCAGUGGUAGCUCGUCGGGCUCAUAACCCGAAGGUCACAGGUUCAAAUCCUGUCCCGCAACCA
rnacentral:tRNA from 1 species